CCACGUGGCAGAGAGUGGCCA
rnacentral:siRNA from 1 species